rnacentral:rRNA from 1 species
UGGGGGAUAUUGCACAAUGAGCGAAAGCCUGAUGCAGCGACGCCGCGUGGGGGAUGAAGGCCUUCGGGUUGUAAACUUCUUUUGCUCUGAACAAGGCAUGCUAAUGGGUGUGUUGAGUGUAGGGGUUGAUUAGCGCCGGCUAACUACGUGCCAGCAGCCGCGGUAAUACGUAGGGCGCGAGCGUUGUCCGGAAUUAUUGGGCGUAAAGGGCUUGUAGGUGGCUGGUUGCGUCUGUCGUGAAAGCUCAUGGCUUAACUGUGGGUUUGCGGGGGGUACGGACUGGCUUGAGUGCAGUAGGGGAGGCUGGACUUCCUGGUGUAGCGGUGGAAUGCGCAGAUAUCAGGAGGAAUACCGGUGGCGAGGGCGGGUCUCUGGGCUGUUACUGACACUGAGGAGCGAAAGCAUGGGGAGCGAACAGG